rnacentral:rRNA from 1 species
UGAGGAAUAUUGGUCAAUGGGCGGAAGCCUGAACCAGCCAUCCCGCGUGCAGGAAGACGGCCCUAUGGGUUGUAAACUGCUUUUCCAGGGGGAGAAACUUUCCGAUGAAUCGGGAUUUGACGGUACCCUGGGAAUAAGCAUCGUCUCGCUCCGUUCCAGCCGCCGCGCUAAUACGGAGGAUGCGAGCGUUAUCCGGAUCUAUUGGGUUUAAAGGGUGCGUAGGCGGAUCGAUAAGUCAGUGGUGAAAUCCUGCAGCUUAACUGUAGACGUGCCGUUGAUACUGUUGGUCUUGAGUAUGGUCAAGGUAGGCGGAAUGUGUAAUGUAGCGGUGAAAUGCGUAGAUAUUACACAGAACACCGAUUGCGAAGGCAGCUUACUGGACCAUCACUGACGCUGAUGCACGAAAGCGUGGGGA